UGGAUUUGACUUUUUUGUUCUUCAAGGACAUUCAUCCUGCUGCCAAGAACUGUCAAACAGGAGCAUCUCAGUAUAAAGAGAGGGAUCCUCCGGGUUGCUCUUCACAUCCUCAUGACUGCUCUUCGCCUCCUCUUUCCUGGCACUGCAAGGUGUGGGUCCAGGGUUCGGAGCCAGAAUGCUGUGCACGGGGCUGUUGCUCUUGCGAAGUCCUCCUCUGUCCCGGGAGUGACUCUUCAGCCGGACCGGUGUUCCCCGGUGGUCGAAACCUUCCUGUUGGA